UACGUAGGCAGCGAGCGUUGUUCGGAAUUACUGGGCGUAAAGAGUGUGUAGGCGGUGCUCUAAGUUCGGUGUGAAAUCUCCCGGCUUAACUGGGAGGGUGCGCCGGAAACUGGAGUGCUCGAACGUGGGAGAGGAAAGCGGAAUUCCCGGUGUAGCGGUGAAAUGCGUAGAGAUCGGGAGGAAGGCCGGUGGCGAAGGCGGCGCUCUGGAACGUUUCUGACACUGAGGCUCGAAAGCGUGGGGAGCAAACAGG
rnacentral:rRNA from 1 species